CAGCCGCCACGGUAAUACGAAGGGGGCUAGCGUUGCUCGGAAUGACUGGGCGUAAAGGGCGCGUAGGCGGUUUUGACAGUCAGAUGUGAAAUUCCUGGGCUUAACCUGGGGGCUGCAUUUGAGACGUCAAGACUAGAGUGUGAGAGAGGGUUGUGGAAUUCCCAGUGUAGAGGUGAAAUUCGUAGAUAUUGGGAAGAACACCGGCGGCGAAGGCGGCAACCUGGCUCAUUACUGACGCUGAGGCGCGAAAGCGUGGUGAGCAAACAGGAUUAGAUACCCCCGUAGUCCCUGUCUCUUAUAC
rnacentral:rRNA from 1 species